rnacentral:rRNA from 1 species
AUUGAACGCUGGCGGCAGGCCUAACACAUGCAAGUCGAGCGGAUGAAGGGAGCUUGCUCCUGGAUUCAGCGGCGGACGGGUGAGUAAUGCCUAGGAAUCUGCCUGGUAGUUGGGGAUAACGUCCGGAAACGGGCGCUAAUACCGCAUACGUCCUGAGGGAGAAAGUGGGGGAUCUUCGGACCUCACGCUAUCAGAUGAGCCUAGGUCGGAUUAGCUAGUUGGUGGGGUAAAGGCCUACCAAGGCGACGAUCCGUAACUGGUCUGAGAGGAUGAUCAGUCACACUGGAACUGAGACACGGUCCAGACUCCUACGGGAGGCAGCAGUGGGGAAUAUUGGACAAUGGGCGAAAGCCUGAUCCAGCCAUGCCGCGUGUGUGAAGAAGGUCUUCGGAUUGUAAAGCACUUUAAGUUGGGAGGAAGGGCAGCAAGUUAAUACCUUGCUGUUUUGACGUUACCAACAGAAUAAGCACCGGCUAACUUCGUG